GCACAGGUCCAGCUCCUGGAAGGAUGAGACCGCCAUCUGCUGAGAUGGAGACGAUGUGAAGCAGGAGUGGGGACGAAGAACACUUUUGACCUGAGGAACAUCCACUUGGAGAUGUCAGGUGUGUUCACAGAUUUAGGCUGGGCUCAUUGGAGGCUUUGAUGGGGGGCAGGCAGGCAGAAAAAAGAUUAGGCCCUUGUCCCCAUGGGCAGGGUCCUGGGGUUCCUUCUGGAUUCUGUUUCCAGAAUCGCCUACACACCCAUCCACCCCCCAACACACAGCGGCCCUAUGGUCAGAUCCCGGAGCUGUCCGAGACCCCCGGUGCUGAACCUCCAGCUCUAAGCAGCAACCGCGUUCCAGCUGGCGGGGAGUGAGAGAGGAAAACGUAUCGUUGGACUUUACCCAGAAUGGCAAAGCUAUUUUGAUGCCAUUGGUCUGCGCUCGUUUCUAUGCCUCGCUCACUCCAACUUGCACUGUACAGACCCCCAAAGAGAGGCAGGUAUAUGUUGCUCUAAGUUCGUUCCAAACUGCACCUUUAAGGAUCGCUGAAUGUGUCACUCCUGACGUCGCAAUUCCCCAAGCUCUGAAGAUAGGUCCGACUUCAGACUGUGGAUUGGCUGAUGACUUCAUGAAUAUGUGGAUCACCAUCAACUUCACUUCGCUCCGGCCUCACCUCCUCGGGGCACUCCUGGGUCUUCGGCUGCAUCAGGUCCAGUUGGGGACUUUCUCCCUCAACAUUCCAAUUCAAAAUCUAUUGUGUAACAGUGCUGGCGAGGAUGCGGAGAAACUGGAACCCUUGUGCACUGCUGAUGGAAUGUACAACGGGGCAGUUGUCAUGGAAAAUGGUUGGGCGGUUCCUCAAAGAGCUAAACAGAAUUAUCAUAUGACCCAGCAAUUGUGCUCCUAGGUAUCUACCCGAGGAAACUGAAAUAGGUGUUCAAACACAAACUUGUAUACGAGUAUUUAUGGUGGCACUAUUCACAAUGGCCCAAAGGUGACAACAACCCAAAUAUCCGUUAAUGGAUGAAUGGAUACACAAGAUGUGGUCCAUCCACACUUCACUCAGCCAUGAAGAGGAGUGAGGCGCUGACACUCGCCACAACGUGGAUGGACCUUGAACACACGGGGCUCAUGAGAGAAGCCG